rnacentral:rRNA from 1 species
UGAGGAAUAUUGGUCAAUGGACGGAAGUCUGAACCAGCCAAGUAGCGUGCAGGAAGACGGCCCUAUGGGUUGUAAACUGCUUUUGUAUGGGGAUAAAGUCAAUCACGUGUGAUUGUUUGCAGGUACCAUACGAAUAAGGACCGGCUAAUUCCGUGCCAGCAGCCGCGGUAAUACGGAAGGUUCGGGCGUUAUCCGGAUUUAUUGGGUUUAAAGGGAGCGUAGGCCGGAGAUUAAGUGUGUUGUGAAAUGUAGACGCUCAACGUCUGACUUGCAGCGCAUACUGGUUUCCAUGAGUACGCACAACGUUGGCGGAAUUCGUCGUGUAGCGGUGAAAUGCUUAGAUAUGACGAAGAACUCCGAUUGCGAAGGCAGCUGACGGGAGCGCAACUGACGCUGAAGCUCGAAGGUGCGGGUAUCGAACAGGAUUAGAUACCCUGGUAGUCCGCACAGUAAACGAUGGAUGCCCGCUGUUGGUACCUAGUAUCAGCGGCUAAGCGAAAGCAUUAAGCAUCCCACCUGGGGAGUACGCCGGCNCGGU